rnacentral:rRNA from 1 species
UGGGGAAUUUUGGGCAAUGGGCGCAAGCCUGACCCAGCAACGCCGCGUGGAGGACGAAGGUCUUCGGAUCGUAAACUCCUGUCCGGAAGGACGAAGGAAGUGACGGUACUUCUGGAGGAAGCCCCGGCUAACUCCGUGCCAGCAGCCGCGGUAAUACGGGGGGGGCAAGCGUUGUUCGGAAUUACUGGGCGUAAAGGGCGCGUCGGCGGUUUCGGAAGUCCUGGGUGAAAGCCCCGGGCUCAACUCGGG